UCAAAGUUUUAUCUGUCAUUUCUAGAUUCACCAAAAUUCAAUAUAAAAGAACAAGUAAACAAAUCUUCAUGUUUUUUCACCAAUUUUACUACCAGCGAUUCAAAAAAGUGUCUAGGUUAAGAAAAAAUUUUAAUUUUUGGUUUCCAAUUUCAUAACGACGAGAUGGGGGAUGCCUUUGUUAAAACCCCCUUAAAUUCAAAUUUCUAAAGAAAUAGUGAUUAAUUUUGAAUUUAGUUUUUAUUUUAGACUCUAAAUCGCGCAUAUCUCUUCCUAUUAGGGUCAGGAUGAAUUUCUAAAUUAAUUAAUUUCCAGAUUUUUGAAAGUGGAUGAUAGCGGACGUUAAGCUUGUUAUGGGCGAAAACAAGAAGGAGACUGUCCACCUCCCUCCCGUCCGAAUCACGAGCACAAAUACUUAUGGAAUGUCUGGUUUUUCAGAGAAUGGGCUUACACCUCCAUUACCCAUAGAAGGUUGCAAUUAUCUGUCAAUUUAAAAGGAGAAAGGAUCUUUUUGAGUAUUAAACAGCGAGCUCUAUAGCUUUAAUAGACAAGCUUGAAGACAAUUCCAUUUCUCUCCUUCUUAAGCUAUUUUUAUCUUCAUGGCCUAGUUAGGUUUUCUUUAUUUCUCUGUCUCUUAUAUAGUCACUGAAAUGUUCCUUUAAUUAUGAUGAUGAUUAAAAAAUACCACAAAUUGCCUGAAUUUAACGUAUAUUUGUCUGUGUGUGUGUGUGGGUGCCAAGGAAAUUGCCAUAAACCAAUUUAAAAUCCAAAGUCGUAAAUUUGCUUAAAAAAAGCCAAAGGCAAAAAUUCACCUGCACGCGGAAUUCAAAGCAGAGAGAGAGAAAGACACCGAGCAAAGCGAGCGGCAAGGGACGGGGUCUUUUGAGUUCGCAGCACUGCGGCUGCAACUGUUGCCGCUUAGGCACUUAAAGCCUCAUCACUGGAAAUUGACAAAAGAAAAUGCCGCAUAAAACUGGAAAAAUAGGAAACGAAGCAGAGUCUGGGGCAAGUAGAGGGCGUGUGGGCUUUUGGUUGCCUUAAUAGCUUAAACACUUCCACUUCCCCUCAACAUGCAAAGUUAAAGUCAUUUGCCUUCUUCUCAAACCAAAUUAACAAAUCUUUUCCAUGCUGAUGUAAAAAUCAGGUGCAUCAUGUGAGAGCUUAAAUAAUAUUAAAUAUAUUUAUAUCUUGAAGAAUAUAUGAGUGA